rnacentral:rRNA from 1 species
UACGUAGGGUGCGAGCGUUAAUCGGAAUUACUGGGCGUAAAGCGUGCGCAGGCGGUUUUGUAAGCCAGAUGUGAAAUCCCCGGGCUCAACCUGGGAAUGGCAUUUGGGACUGCAUAGCUGGAGUACGGCAGAGGGGGAUGGAAUUCCGCGUGUAGCAGUGAAAUGCGUAGAUAUGCGGAGGAACACCGAUGGCGAAGGCAGUCCCCUGGGCCUGUACUGACGCUCAUGCACGAAAGCGUGGGGAGCAAACAGG